CCUACGGGAGGCAGCAGUAGGGAAUCUUCCGCAAUGGCACGAAAGUCUGACGGAGCAACGCCGCGUGAGUGAAGAAGGUUUUCGGAUCGUAAAACUCUGUUGUCAGAGAAGAACAAGUCGGAGAGUAACUGCUCCGUGCCUUGACGGUAUCUGACCAGAAAGCCCGGUAAU
rnacentral:rRNA from 1 species